CUCCGUCCCAAACUCUGGAUUCUGUGUAUAACUUUCGAAUGUCUGUCUUAUAUGAAUUUUUUUUAUAAUUAGUAUAUUCAUUGUUGUUAGAUGAUAAACCAUGAUUAAUACUUUAUACGUGAUUUGUCUUUUUAAUUUUUUUAUAUUUUUUUCAAAUAAGACGGAUGGUCAAACGUUGGACACGGAAACCCAGG
rfam:Oryza nivara chromosome 5, whole genome shotgun sequence.